rnacentral:rRNA from 1 species
UUUAAACAACUCCCUGCUGUUCUCACCUGGUUUCCCACUGAAGCUAAGCAGGGUUGAGCCUGGCCUGUAACUGGAUGAAAACCUCCUGGGGAAAACUAAGGUUGCUGCUGGA